GAAUUCGAUUCAGGCAAAACACAUGCAAGUCGAACGAGACCUUCGGGUCUAGUGGCGCACGGGUGCGUAACGCGUGGGAAUCUGCCCUUGGGUUCGGGAUAACAGUUGGAAACGACUGCUAAUACCGGAUGAUGACUUCGGUCCAAAGAUUUAUCACCCAGGGAUGAGCCCGCGUCGGAUUAGCUAGUUGGUGAGGUAAAGGCUCACCAAGGCGAAAAUCCGUAGCUGGUCUUUGAGGGGGAUCAGCCACACUGGGACUGAGACCCGGCCCAGACUCC
rnacentral:rRNA from 1 species